UUUUGUAGACUGAGUUAUGGCAUUUUUGCCAUAAUUGGUUGGGUGUCCUGAAAUUCAGGAUUUCCAGGUCAGGUUUGGUCCAGGCAGUUUUGUUGGACUAAGUUUGCCUAGCAAUUUGGUUGAGUUAUGGUCAUAACUUGACUCUAAGUUCUUCAUAUGAAAUAUUCUCCUAUGUCUCAGGAUUCCAUAGGUUCAAGAAUCAGGUCAAUUGGAGUUUCCUAGUGUGAGUUAUGCUUAAAUUAUUAAACACUGUUCAUAUAAUCAUUUCUACAGGUUCAGAAUGAGUCAUUCUGGAUUCAAGCCUAAUUUAGGGCAAUUUGUGGUCAGUUUUUGGGCAAGCUUCCUUCAUGACAUUUUUAGUAUUAUGUCUUAAGUUUCAUCUUCAAUUGGCCUCAUACUAAUUGGAGCUACAUAGUUCAACUUAUACUCAUUCAAACCUACUGGACUUAAAGGUCCAGAAUUCCAGCUCAAGAUUCACACUUCCAAUUCAUUAAUUUAUCUUAACCAUCAACUUCAUUUCACAAUCAAUUCACAUUAAUUUGGUCCAUAUUUGACAUCAACAACAUCAAUUUCACACCAUAGUACAAAAUCCUCCCAAUUUCCAAAACCCUAAUUUCCCUUUCUUCUCAAUUUCAUGCAAAUUUCAUACAACUCAACUCACAAUUCAUAUACACACAUUCAUCAAUACCCAUAGGCAAGUUUAAAUUCAUAAAAAAUAUCAAGCCAUCACCCGAUCAAGGCUGGCCAAAUUUCACUCUCAACAUUCAUGCAUAGUUUCUUUAAUUUUCUUCACAAUUUCAACUCAAUUCAACUUAUUUUCAAGAAUCAAACAACUAAUUUAAGGUUAAAUUGCACUUACCUCACUUGAGAGACUUUUUCAACUUUCAAAACUUCAAUUUCUCUUCUUUUUUUUUGCUACCAAACUCUUAAGCAAGGCCUAAUAGCAAGUUUUAGUGUUAGGGAUUAUGGGAAAUAUGGAGAGAAGGGCAAGAAAAUUAAGCUUGAAGAAGUGGAAAAUGGUGGAAGGGUUUGAUGGAGGUGGUUCGGCCAACUUGGUAUGAAGAAGAAGAUGAAGACUUUUUGAUUCAUUUAAUUAUUUUGUCUCUUAUAUAUAUGUGUGUCUAAUUAUAGUUAGUUCAAAAUUUUAAUUAGAAUUAAUUAAUAUAAUUAUAAUUAUAUCAAUUCCUUUAAUUCCCUUCAUGUCCCUUUAUUAAUUUCCAUGUACUCUUCUUAUUUUUAAGUCAUUUUUCAAUAUUUUAAUUUCACUCAUUUUAAUUGACAUUUAGAUCAAAAUUCAACUCUGUGGGUGAAAUGACCAAAAUGCCCU
rnacentral:misc_RNA from 1 species